GAUGAACGCUGGCGGCGUGCCUAAUACAUGCAAGUCGAGCGAACAGACGAGGAGCUUGCUCCUCUGACGUUAGCGGCGGACGGGUGAGUAACACGUGGAUAACCUACCUAUAAGACUGGGAUAACUUCGGGAAACCGGAGCUAAUACCGGAUAAUAUAUUGAACCGCAUGGUUCAAUAGUGAAAGACGGUUUUGCUGUCACUUAUAGAUGGAUCCGCGCCGCAUUAGCUAGUUGGUAAGGUAACGGCUUACCAAGGCGACGAUGCGUAGCCGACCUGAGAGGGUGAUCAGCCACACUGGAACUGGGACACGGUCCAGACUCCUACGGGAGGCAGCAGUAGGGAAUCUUCCGCAAUGGGCGAAAGCCUGACGGAGCAACGCCGCGUGAGUGAUGAAGGUCUUCGGAUCGUAAAACUCUGUUAUUAGGGAAGAACAAAUGUGUAAGUAACUAUGCACGUCUUGACGGUACCUAAUCAGAAAGCCACGGCUAACUACGUG
rnacentral:rRNA from 1 species